AAGGUACGAAGAUCCUCUUUUUCGUUUGUUUUUCUUUCUCUCGGAAAUGACAAUAAACUCAUCUUUCUAGCCAUUGAUCAAGCAAGAAUACGAUAAGAAUAAAGAGCGUCUUCUAUCUGAUUAAUUACUAAAGAGGUGGCAAAGAGCCAACUCACAAGGGUGGCCCAGGUGGUUGAGCAGGGGAUCUUCCAAAUGGAGGUCUCAGGUUCGAGCCCCCCCUGCAUGCUUUCUCGGUCAAUCUUGUCGCACGAGGCUUGCGUAUGCAGUUUACCGUCAGUAGACUGGCCUUUCCUUGGUGAUUGGAUCCGUGAGUUCAAUCAAAUCAGGUUGCGGUAUCGUAUUUAAUAGGAAAUGGCAGCAUUUAGGGGCGAUCUAUCUCUCUACUGUGUGGUUUCUUGUAACUGAAUAUUUGCUCCUUCUGCUUCUGAUUCAGUUCGAGUACUUCCUAUCGCUUCUUAUCGACUUAUUUUUCGUAGGAAUCUGGAAAGUAUGCUGUUAGGAUGCCAAACAAAUGAUGUGGUAUUGUAUUCAUUUAGAAAUGUCAAUCUCUGCUGUGUGGUUUGCUUGUAAAUGGAUAUAUGCUCCUUGUGCUUCUGAUUUAGUUCGAGUACUUACUAUCGCUUCUUAUCGACUUAUGUUUCGUAGGAAUCUGGAAAGUAUGCUGUUAGGAUGCCAAACAAAUGGAAUUUCUCUUUUGAUUACUACUAUGCAUCACUUGUUGGCCUUGCCAUCUAUGUACCAGGCAAGAACCUUAACACCAUUCUCUCACUAAAAUCAUCUCCACGUUCAGCUCCAAGCU
rnacentral:lncRNA from 1 species